rnacentral:rRNA from 1 species
UUACCGGCUUGACAUGCCUAAUCUCCUUCGGGCACAGGUGGUGCAUGGUUGUCGUCAGCUCGUGUCGUGAGAUGUUGGGUUAAGUCCCGCAACGAGCGCAACCCUGUUUUAGUUGCCAUCAUAUGGGACUCUAGGAGACUGCCGGUGACAACCGGAGGAAGGUGGGGAUGACGUCAAAUCAUCAUGCCCCUUAUGUCGGGCUACACACGUGCUACAAUGGGGUACACGGGGCAGAGUAAUCGGAGCAAUCUUAAAACCGCCCCAGUUCGGAUUGUGGGCUGAAACUCGCCCACAUGAAGUUGGAGUUGCUAGUAAUCGCGAUCAGAUGCGCGGUGAAUGCGUUCCCGGGUCUUGUACACACCGCCCGUCACACCAUGGAAGUUGGAGGCCGAA